AAGCUCCCAUGAUGUCUAGCACUGGGGUCCAAUCACCCCUGAGGACACAGUGUCCCCCAAGACUUUUGACACCUGGGGAUCUGAGGGGCCC
ensembl:snoRNA